rnacentral:sRNA from 1 species
GCUGGGUGCAGUGGCGCACGCCUGUAAUCCCAGUGGCUCCGGAGCAUGAGGCAGGAGGAUCGUGUGUUCAAAGCCAGCCUCAGCAAAAGCAAGGUGCUAAGCAACUCAGUGAGACCCUGUCUCUA